rnacentral:lncRNA from 1 species
GGUGUAUAGGCCAGUAAGUGCUUACAAGGAACUCGGUUUCGGUGGUGUAAGUGAUUCGUUCGCCUUCUGAGUCGCUCUUUGGAAUACUUGCCCUUUGAUGGAUCCAAGAGGCGACGACGCUGUGUGCCAUCCUUUUCAUGUGAUAAGAUAAGGUGCAUUUUUUCGUUGAUGAAGCCGUCCUCCCGGCGCCUGGCUGAAGCGAUCCUGCGAUAAACGGUACAUAUGCUUAUCAGUUGGUGGUAGAUUGCGCAUUCAUUGGUCAAUGGUUGAAUGGCCCAGAACCUAUUUACCACUGAAGUAGGUAUUUGACGUCCGACUAUUCCUGACUUUGAUAAUAUCAUUUUCGGCCAAUAAGCCGAAUAUUUCCAUCUGCAUGAAAUUGAAAGACAUUAAUGUACGAAUGUUUGGUAAAUGUAUCAGUCCGAGGCUUGAAGGGCUGAUACAUUUACCAGCUUUUCCCUACAUGAUCGAUUGUAGCCUGCAGGAACAUUUGGUGUGCAUUAUCACUUCGCUUUAUAGCUCACUCAUAGCCAUGAUAUAUGUAACUACCAUUGGGAUCUACUGGUAAGCCACUGGUCUUUAAGGUCGCUUCCCUAACUAACGGACAUCAAAGAACCAAUAUCUAACCACCUGACCUGAUAAGGGUCACCUGUAGAGCUGAACAUUUUCAAGGGUCACUGAUUCAAUAAGACGCAUGCAUUUUAGGUACUCACGGUUUCUCGAAGCUGAUCUGCAGAAAAUCCCUAGUUUAUGGAAUGACAGAGCUCACAGGCUUGCCAUGUUGGCCUGAGGUCGCUAUUUUACAAGACUGUCUACCUGCAGACGCUACUAAUCCACCACGGUAACGAGGAAGUACACUGCCUUAUCAGCUAAUCGGAGGUCUCCGCUCCACCUGUCGGACUUACCAGGGAUCUUACCUACCAGAGUUCGCCGGUACUUCUCUGCGACUGGCAACGGCUCCUGGCGUGCGCCAGUGGCACUCACCGAGGUCAGAUCUGGUGACUUGACCUGCCUCCUGUUCCCAGUUCGCAACCCUGACCUGAGUCUCAUCCUCGCGGAGGACCUCCAGACGGUCGCCUGAGCACUGCUGGUGUCAGGAUCCCGCCACGAACAUGCUGCUGUAUGGCUCUGCUGCAACCAACAAACCAGCACAUUGCCACGGCCCUUCCUCCCGAGUCUUAUCUCGGCAGCGUCACGGGUCCCACACGCCGGCGCUGACGCGUCUCUGUCCCAUUGGAGGCAGCUGACCGAGUCCCACGAGCCUCCACCAGCUGUGUGUCGUGUAAGGACCGGCGGGUCUCCCGGCACGCAGACGCAGCCGCGCUCCGCCCCGCCGGCAGUCAUGUCGUUAGCGCUGCUGCAGACCCUGCUGUGGGCGUGGCCCGUAGUGAAGGUCGUCUGCUGCCUCAUACCUGUGUCCGUUCUGGGCUUCUUUAUGUACAAGCUGGUCAACAGUUUGAACGAGAAGGAGCGGAAGCGAGAAGAGAAGAAGCGGUUGAAGGAGCAGAAGAAGAAGAAGUAACGGCCCGGUGUCGGCUGAGGAUGGGCUGAUGGGUCGGCCCGCCGGAGGUCGCCGCGGUGACGGUGGCGCCUCCGGACCGCGGCGCGGAGCGGGCUGGACGGUGGCGCCGCCGCGGUCCGUCGGGGCGCCCCGGGUGACGCACAUUCGCCGGCUGGAACUGGGGCAGGACGGGACCGGAGCGGGACGGGCGACCGUCCGCGCCCGGUGGCCGCCCAGAGCAAACAUUCCGUGCUACUGCAGCGGGGCGGUCCCGAGCACCUCCCAAUGGUCUCCAAUGUGUGCUCGGCGCGUGUGUGUUGGUGGGUUAAGUUUUUGUUGAUGAUUCCCUCGUGUAUCAAUGGCUAUUUUGUAUUAGGAAAUAAAUGACUUAUACUGCC